GACGAGGGGUCCAAGCGUUGUUCGGAAUUAUUGGGCGUAAAGCGGGUGUAGGUGGCUCUAUAAGUCAGAAGUGAAAGCCCCGAGCUUAACUUGGGAAGUGCUUUUGAUACUGCAGAGCUUGAAUGUGGGAGAGGAUCGUGGAAUUCCAGGUGUAGUGGUGAAAUACGUAGAUAUCUGGAGGAACACCGGUGGCGAAGGCGGCGAUCUGGCCCAACAUUGACACUGAGACCCGAAAGCGUGGGGAUCGAAACAGGACGUUAGGAU
rnacentral:rRNA from 1 species